UCGAUUGUAGAAUGGCGGGUGAGAUGAUGAGAAGUUAUUUUCGUCUCAUCAAACUUCAAAGAAAAAUGGAAUUAAAAUGAGCAAUUGAUUUGUGUAAUUUUGUAACAAAAGUGAGAUGGACGUACAAUUAAUUCCAGAACGUGGUCGAUGCUGUUGCGAUCGUUGCCGAAAUACGUCUCGUACACCACAUGUUUAGGAAGACUCCAUGACAUGCUCCAUGAAGAAGACGUACAGCGUUUAUAGACAGUUCGAGUGAAGGGGAAAUUCACAUGGUCGUUCAGUUUCGUGUUCAUUAUCAUUCGAUAUUUUCCUGGGUUCUUAAACAGUACGUGGCUGAUGGACAUUGAAGUAAACCUUAUCUAUGCCGCAAGCCUCCACAGUAAAGUUGGUUGGUGUAUGAGCAUAAGUCAGCAUUUUUUUCUUGCAUAUUAAGAAAGCUACAACGGCGUUUCAUUCUUGCCUUAGCAAGUAAGCACGUGGUCGAUGCUUUACAGCCACACGGAAAUAUUCCUUGUUUACUUUUUUUUUAAGGAAGAACCUCUAUUGAAGGUUGUUCCAUUGUUGGCUGUUGUUUGAGAUGUCAUUGCAGUUGCAGUUCUAACCACCAGCCUACUUGUGCUUACCUGUAUUAAAAGCUGUUUAACCAAGACACUAUUUCUUCGUUAUGUUCUUCCAUUUCACAUUUCUGUCAUUAAUAGUUACCAAAUAUAAAAGUUUUCUAUGCUAUGAUAAUAACUCCAUAGUUGCAUUC
rnacentral:lncRNA from 1 species